rnacentral:rRNA from 1 species
CCUAACACAUGCAAGUCGAACGGUAACAGGAAGCAGCUUGCUGCUUCGCUGACGAGUGGCGGACGGGUGAGUAAUGUCUGGGAAGCUGCCUGAUGGAGGGGGAUAACUACUGGAAACGGUAGCUAAUACCGCAUAAUGUCGCAAGACCAAAGAGGGGGACCUUCGGGCCUCUUGCCAUCGGAUGUGCCCAGAUGGGAUUAGCUUGUUGGUGGGGUAACGGCUCACCAAGGCGACGAUCCCUAGCUGGUCUGAGAGGAUGACCAGCCACACUGGAACUGAGACACGGUCCAGACUCCUACGGGAG